rnacentral:rRNA from 1 species
UACAGAGGUCUCAAGCGUUGUUCGGAUUCAUUGGGCGUAAAGGGUGCGUAGGUGGCUUGGUAAGUUGAAGGUGAAAUCUCGGAGCUCAACUCCGAAACUGCCUUCAAUACUGCCGGGCUCGAGGACUGUAGAGGAGAAUGGAAUUCACGGUGUAGCAGUGAAAUGCGUAGAUAUCGUAAGGAAGACCAGUGGCGAAGGCGGGUCUCUGGACAGUUCCUGACGCUGAGGCACGAAGGCCAGGGGAGCAAACGGG